UGCCAGCCGCCGCGGUAAUACGGAGGGGGCUAGCGUUGUUCGGAAUUACUGGGCGUAAAGCGCGCGUAGGCGGUUUUUCAAGUUGGGAGUGAAAUCCCAGGGCUUAACCCUGGAACUGCUCUCAAAACUGAAUGACUAGAGAAAGGUAGAGGAUAGUGGAAUUUCCAGUGUAGGGGUGAAAUCCGUAGAUAUUGGAAGGAACACCAGUGGCGAAGGCGGCUGUCUGGACCUUUUCUGACGCUAAGGCGCGAAAGCGUGGGGAGCGAACAGGAUUAGAUA
rnacentral:rRNA from 1 species